AAAUAAAAAAGAGGAAUAAUCAAAGAAUGGUUAGCAUUGUUGCUGUCGUCGAGGCAUUCGUCACUUGCGCCGUUGUUGCUGAUCCCAUCCACCAUCGCAUUUCCAUGCUCAUUUAGAGGCCUCCGUAUUGCAGGCUGCAAAAAAAUAUUGAGUCAACCCAAGAACGAUGUCAGUGGAUCUAUCAUUAAUCAAAUUAUCAUAGUAUGCAAUUUUUGUAAAAGAAACUUAUUUUGAUAAACAAUAUUGGUCAAAGUAGCAUAUGGAAGUUCGUGUCGACAUCCAAAAGUGACAUAUUUUGGGAUCGAUGAAGUCAUGCGGUAGAAUACGACCAACAACAGUCACUUUACUUUUACUUUGGUGGAUAGUCAGAUCAACCGGUUGGAAAGAGUAGACUAAUCACAAGUUCUUUUAUCAUUUGCUAUAAUGCAAUUGUUCCGAAGAACCAACUAAAUAUUGCAUAACUAAUAUGAUGAUCAAGAGGUUGAAAUAGCACCGGUCGUUUUGGCAGAUAAUAAGCAAAGAAAAACCAAAACUCUAGCUACGUUCCAUCACGUUCCAAACUACUCGCACUGUCGCCCGGGUAGCAGAAGCAUGAACAAGUGCAAGCAUGCAGCGGCAACGAUGACUAGGUCUAGAGAGGCACAGUUACGGCGACACAACAUGCUCAGCUCACAUCUGGAAGGACAUCGUGUUCGGGCUUACCCUGCAUCGGCCAAGAGAUCGGUCACAAUGGCAGCUUGGUCGCUUGGCUGUCCAGUCCUCAACGAGCCCUAUGAUUUCCCUAUGCUUCCCAAGCCUAACAC
rnacentral:lncRNA from 1 species